rnacentral:rRNA from 1 species
GACGAACGCUGGCGGCGUGCCUAAUACAUGCAAGUAGAACGCUGAAGGAGGAGCUUGCUUCUCUGGAUGAGUUGCGAACGGGUGAGUAACGCGUAGGUAACCUGCCUGGUAGCGGGGGAUAACUAUUGGAAACGAUAGCUAAUACCGCAUAACAGUAGAUAUCGCAUGAUAUCUACUUGAAAGGUGCAAUUGCAUCACUACCAGAUGGACCUGCGUUGUAUUAGCUAGUUGGUGAGGUAACGGCUCACCAAGGCGACGAUACAUAGCCGACCUGAGAGGGGGAUCGGCCAAACGGGGACUGAGACACGGCCCAGACUCCUACGGGGGGCAGCAGUAGGGAAUCUUCGGCAAUGGACGGAAGUCUGACCGAGCAACGCCGGGUGAGUGAAGAAGUUUUUCGGAUCGAAAAGCUUUGUUGUAAGGGAAGAACGGGUGGGAGAGGGGAAAGUUCCCACUGGGACGGUAUUUUACCAGAAAGGGAGGGCGAACUACGU